GGGUGAGAUUAGGUCAUUAGGAUAUGGACAAAGUUUACCCACAAGCUACAAUUACCAAAAACUCUUUUAGGUCCAUUCAGAGUGGAUGUGAGUUUUUAGUUUAAAAUCGAAUUUGAUAACAAAAUCUGUUUAGCAAAAAUGGUGCUAAUUUUAAUUUCAAGUCAGUUUUAAAAUACUUUUUAUUCAGUUUUGUAAAUAAAAAAAGAGGUUUAGACCUAUACACACAUCAUGUACGCGCAUCAGCUACGCAUUCUUAGACAACUUCUGAUCCUCCAUCAUUUCUCUUCUCUCAUCUCUCCCCUACGCAUGUGACUGUGCAGGAAAAACAAGCAGCUUUUUUUUAGAAGAAAAUGAGUACGCACUUGUUGUCAUCGACCUAGUGGGAAAACGAAGAUAUGAUUGAUUCAAGGCCAUGCGAAUGUGAAAUAUUAAGGGCUUUUAUUUUCAUCAGUUGUUACUUUGGAUAAUCUAAUAACCAUCAUCAGAACGUGCACGCAAUUAUAUCAUCGUGGCAUAAAGGAUGUGGAACCUGUUAUAAAAAAAGAUGCAUGAUGAUCUUAUUUUUGCAACAAAAAAUUGUAAAUAUGAAAAACUAAAAAUUAAAACUGGUUUUGAUUUUCAAAAAUUUCAAAAGUAAAAACAAAAAACAAUACCGAACAGGGCCUUAAUAUUUUAUUAAGGUGAUAACUCCAAGGGAGCCAAUGAGUUUUCCAUAUUGGAUUUAGACUGUUUCUCGGUUGCAUACUCGAUUUUUUUUUUUUGUGAAACAUCAAAUUAUGUUGCAGUUCGACAGGGUUGUGUAAAUGUUUUGUAUUAUGCAAAAUGCAGCAACGAAUUUUUCACAGCCUGCUUCGAAGCAGUGGAUAUAUUAGCAACGACGCGACCUCUUGUUGUUUGGUGGAACUCCUCGCCAUUUUUUGUGGUCUUCAUGCGUGUUGCUUGUUGGGAUAAGGUUGUUGUAGAAUCCUACAGUUGAUCGACUUUGUCUCUCAUUCAACACCCACACGACCUAUUUCAUGUUUAUGCAAGUAUUAUUAUUUAGCAUACCUUGCGGGAAGAAAAUAUAACAACAGACUUCUUAGCCUAACUAGGAUCCUCUUCUAAGCUUGGUUUUCAAAUCUAUCAUAAGGCUCAUUUGAGCAUUUUGUCUGUUUUGCUUGCCGAUUAUUUGGGUGUCAUAAAUCUUAGGAGUUUGUUUUUCUUUGUAUUCGAUCCUUCUUGUAGCAAAAAAGACUUUCACUUUUCAGAGCAUAUGUCAUGUUUGACAAUAAAAACCACAUAGUAUGAAAUUGUCUCUAUAUUUUCUUUUUAGGAUUUCCUAUGGAUUCCAUGCACAAACA